GAGUUUGAUUCUGGCUCAGGAUGAACGCUGGCGGCGUGCCUAAUACAUGCAAGUGAAACGGGUAUCUUCGGAUACCAGUCGCGGACGGGUGAGUAAUACAUAGGCAACCUGCCUUUAUGAGGGGGAUAACCGAGGGAAACUUUGGCUAAUACCGCAUGAAGACUCUAAGGCAUCUUAGAGGGAUAAAAGUUGGGAAACAACGCAUGAAGAUGGGCUUAUGGCGCAUUAGCUAGUGGUGAGAUAGAAGCCCACCAAGGUAAUGAUGCGUAGCCGACCUGAGAGGGUGAACGGCCACAUUGGGACUGAGACACGGCCCAAACUCCUACGGGAGGCAGCAGUAGGGAAUUUUCGGCAAUGGGGGGAACCCUGACCGAGCAACGCCGCGUGAAGGAAAAGAAGGUUUUCGGAUUGUAAACUUCUGUUAUAAGGGAAGAACGGAUUGGAUAGGGAAUGAUCUGAUAGUGACGGUACCUUAUUAGAAAGCCACGGCUAACUACGUGCCAGCAGCAGC
rnacentral:rRNA from 1 species